GUAGGUGGCAAGCGUUGUCCGGAAUUAUUGGGCGUAAAGCGCGCGCAGGCGGUUCUUUAAGUCUGAUGUGGAAGCCCACGGCUCAACCGUGGAGGGUCAUUGGAAACUGGAGAACUUGAGUACAGAAGAGGAAAGCGGAAUUCCACGUGUAGCGGUGAAAUGCGUAGAGAUGUGGAGGAACACCAGUGGCGAAGGCGGCUUUCUGGUCUGUAACUGACGCUGAGGCGCGAAAGCGUGGGGAGCAAACAGGGAUUAGAUACCCUGGUAGUCCACGCCGUAAACGAUGAGUGCUAAGUGUUAGGGGGGUUUCCGCCCCCUUAGUGCUGCAGCUAACGCAUUAAGCACUCCGCCUGGGGAGUACGGCCGCAAGGCUG
rnacentral:rRNA from 1 species